GGGGGGAGCAAGCGUUGUUCGGAUUUACUGGGCGUAAAGGGCGCGUAGGCGGCCACCGCAAGUCGACUGUGAAAUCUCCGGGCUUAACCCGGAAAGGUCAGCCGAUACUGCGGGGCUAGAGUGCAGAAGGGGCAACUGGAAUUCUCGGUGUAGCGGUGAAAUGCGUAGAUAUCGAGAGGAACACCUGCGGCGAAGGCGGGUUGCUGGGCUGACACUGACGCUGAGGCGCGAAAGCUAGGGGAGCGAACGGGAUUAGAUACCCCGGUAGUCCUAGCCUUAAACGAUGAAUGCUUGGUGUCUGGGGUUUUWUAGUCCCCGGGUGCCGUCGCUAACGCUUUAARCAUUYCGCCUGGGGAGUACGGUCGCAAGACUG
rnacentral:rRNA from 1 species